GAUAAGGUGUUUAGAAACUGAAUCCAUGCUUGGUUCAUGUUAAAAACACGAGUUCAUGAAGUUUCAAAAUCAAAAAUCUGGAGGUUGAAGAUGAAGUGCUUCACACGCUUUAGUGAGAAAAUUCAAAUCAAUGGUCAAUCAGAAUGCACCACUCAACCUAUCUGUUACAUUCAAAUGUUUUUAUUUCUUUUUAUUUCCUUUUCUUUUAAAAUUAUUUUUAAAUAGCUCAUUUAAUUUUUUUAAUCCAAUUUUUC
rnacentral:lncRNA from 1 species